UCUACAGGCUUAACACAUGCAAGUCGAGGGGCAGCAUGGUCUUAGCUUGCUAAGGCCGAUGGCGACCGGCGCACGGGUGAGUAACACGUAUCCAACCUGCCGUCUACUCUUGGACAGCCUUCUGAAAGGAAGAUUAAUACAAGAUGGCAUCAUGAGUCCGCAUGUUCACAUGAUUAAAGGUAUUCCGGUAGACGAUGGGGAUGCGUUCCAUUAGAUAGUAGGCGGGGUAACGGCCCACCUAGUCUUCGAUGGAUAGGGGUUCUGAGAGGAAGGUCCCCCACAUUGGAACUGAGACACGGUCCAAACUCCUACGGGAGGCAGCAGUGAGGAAUAUUGGUCAAUGGGCGCAGGCCUGAACCAGCCAAGUAGCGUGAAGGAUGACUGCCCUAUGGGUUGUAAACUUCUUUUAUAAAGGAAUAAAGUCGGGUAUGGAUACCCGUUUGCAUGUACUUUAUGAAUAAGGAUCGGCUAACUCCGUGCCAGCAGCCGCGGUAAUACGGAGGAUCCGAGCGUUAUCCGGAUUUAUUGGGUUUAAAGGGAGCGUAGAUGGAUGUUUAAGUCAGUUGUGAAAGUUUGCGGCUCAACCGUAAAAUUGCAGUUGAUACUGGAUAUCUUGAGUGCAGUUGAGGCAGGCGGAAUUCGUGGUGUAGCGGUGAAAUGCUUAGAUAUCACGAAGAACUCCGAUUGCGAAGGCAGCCUGCUAAGCUGCAACUGACAUUGAGGCUCGAAAGUGUGGGUAUCAAACAGGAUUAGAUACCCUGGUAGUCCACACGGUAAACGAUGAAUACUCGCUGUUUGCGAUAUACUGCAAGCGGCCAAGCGAAAGCGUUAAGUAUUCCACCUGGGGAGUACGCCGGCAACGGUGAAACUCAAAGGAAUUGACGGGGGCCCGCACAAGCGGAGGAACAUGUGGUUUAAUUCGAUGAUACGCGAGGAACCUUACCCGGGCUUAAAUUGCAGAUGAAUUACGGUGAAAGCCGUAAGCCGCAAGGCAUCUGUGAAGGUGCUGCAUGGUUGUCGUCAGCUCGUGCCGUGAGGUGUCGGCUUAAGUGCCAUAACGAGCGCAACCCUUGUUGUCAGUUACUAACAGGUUCCGCUGAGGACUCUGACAAGACUGCCAUCGUAAGAUGUGAGGAAGGUGGGGAUGACGUCAAAUCAGCACGGCCCUUACGUCCGGGGCUACACACGUGUUACAAUGGGGGGUGCAGAGGGCCGCUACCACGCGAGUGGAUGCCAAUCCCAAAAACCUCUCUCAGUUCGGACUGGAGUCUGCAACCCGACUCCACGAAGCUGGAUUCGCUAGUAAUCGCGCAUCAGCCACGGCGCGGUGAAUACGUUCCCGGGCCUUGUACACACCGCCCGUCAAGCCAUGGGAGCCGGGGGUACCUGAAGUGCGUAACCGCGAGGAGCGCCCUAGGGUAAAACUGGUGACUGGGGC
rnacentral:rRNA from 1 species